UACGUAGGGGGCUAGCGUUGUCCGGAAUCAUUGGGCGUAAAGAGCGCGUAGGCGGCCGAGUAAGUCCGACGUGAAAUCUGGAGGCUCAACCUCCAGCGGUCGUUGGAAACUACUCGGCUAGAGUCCGGAAGAGGAGAGUGGAAUUCCUGGUGUAGCGGUGAAAUGCGCAGAUAUCAGGAAGAACACCGAUGGCGAAAGCAGCUCUCUGGGACGGUACUGACGCUGAGGCGCGAAAGCGUGGGGAGCGAACAGG
rnacentral:rRNA from 1 species